GGUCCCAUAGCUCAGUUGGUUAGUAGCAUCUGACUCAUAAUCAGAGGGUCACAGGUUCAAGCCCUGUUGGGACCA
rfam:Bacteroides sp. CAG:709 genomic scaffold, scf1